rnacentral:rRNA from 1 species
UACGUAGGGACCGAGCGUUGUCCGGAUUCAUUGGGCGUAAAGAGCUCGUAGGCGGCCACUCAAGUCGAAUGUGAAACCUCGAGGCUUAACCUCGAGCCUGCAUUCGAUACUGGGCGGCUAGAGUCUGGUAGGGGGAUCUGGAAUUCCUGGUGUAGCGGUGAAAUGCGCAGAUAUCAGGAAGAACACCUAUGGCGAAGGCAGCUCUCUGGGACGGUACUGACGCUGAGACGCGGAAGCGUGGGGAGCGAACAGG